UAGGGAAUCUUCGGCAAUGGACGAAAGUCUGACCGAGCAACGCCGCGUGAGUGAAGAAGGUUUUCGGAUCGUAAAACUCUGUUGUUAGAGAAGAACAAGGACGUUAGUAACUGAACGUCCCCUGACGGUAUCUAACCAGAAAGCCACGGCUAACUACGUGCCAGCAGCCGCGGUAAUACGUAGGUGGCAAGCGUUGUCCGGAUUUAUUGGGCGUAAAGCGAGCGCAGGCGGUUUCUUAAGUCUGAUGUGAAAGCCCCCGGCUCAACCGGGGAGGGUCAUUGGAAACUGGGAGACUUGAGUGCAGAAGAGGAGAGUGGAAUUCCAUAUGUAGCGGUGAAAUGCGUAGAUAUAUGGAGGAACGCCAGUGGCGAAGGCGGCUCUCUGGUCUGUAACUGACGCUGAGGCGCGAAAGCGUGGGGAGCAAACAGG
rnacentral:rRNA from 1 species